CGAGUCCGCGUUGUUUAAUGAAACCCUAAUUUCUCGGGUUUGGGACCUAUUUAAAGGGCCUUAAGGUCGUCAUUUGUGCUCACCAGCCCUCUGAGUGAAACCCUAGCGAGUUUGAUCGUUUGGAGCAAAGCAAGAAGCCAUUAUUGACCUUGGAGGUGUUAUCUCGCAAGGGAAAGGAAGCAAUAGCUAAGGGAAAAUCAAGGGGAGCCACUUCCUGAAGAGUUGAGGUCCAGAGCAUCACAUUUGAGGUAUAUCCUUCGAGCUAUUCUCUGUUAUGUUGAUGUUUAUGUUGAUUUAGGGCUUAUUGAGCCCUUUUGUGGCUAGAUCUAGUGCUUCCUUGGUCCCUUAAGCGAUUUAGGUUCUAGAUCUGGACCCUUGGAGGUCCAGAGUGUCCCUUUGCCCAAGCUUUUUAUGAACCCAUGGGGGUUUUGGAUUGGGGUCCUUGUGUUUGAGGUCAAAACACCAUUUUUGAGUCAAGGAGUGUGUUAUGAGCACCAAGUCUUGGACUUUACGUGAUGAAUAUGCUUAGGAGGGCCAGAUCUAUGAGUUGUUGGAUCGGAUCUGACCUCAGAAGCAAGUUUGGGUUGAUGCAUGGCAUGGACUCACCGAGUCUGAUGAACAGACUCAGCGAGUAGCUUGAAGAUUGCCCUUACCCACUCAGCGAGUGGUCCUACCAAGUUAUGGGUUAACUCAGUGAGUCAGAGAGAAUUAGAGAGGGUUGACAGGUGGACUGAGUCGAGCUGGGACUCGCCGAGUUGUUCUUGAGACUCGGCGAGGUGAGUCGUGGUGGCCCCGCGAUUCAUGCCAGGUGGAACUCACCGAGUCAGGGGAGUACUCGACGUGUCAGAGGAGAAUCCUAGAGAGUUGGUGAAAACAUCUAGACUCGCCGAGUCGCCCUAGUGCACUCACCGAGUCCGGUCAAUGUUGACCGUUGACCGUUGACCAGAGUUGACCAGUCUUGACUUGAUAGGGGUAGUCAACCCUAGUUGAGAAAGUGUUAAUUAGAGGUAUAUUGUGUUAUAGGAAGAUUGUAGCUCGGAGGAUCGAGCACGAGUGAUUUUCGGGACUUUGCUAGUUAUCGAGAUACGCGAGGUGAGUCUUCUCACUAUACUUUACCUUGAGUAGGUAACCAGAGUUAUGUGAUCAGAGUAUUUGUAUGCUAUAUGUACGUGAUAUGUUGUACUGCAUUAUUUCUAUGUGAUUUAUGAUGUGCAUGUUUAUAGAGUUGGAACCGGAAGGUUCCCAGACUUAGAACCUGAGGGUUCACAGAGUUUGGUUGCACGGACCCAUAGAGUUAUAGCCUCGAGUGGCUAAUAUGUGUUAUGUGUGGUAUUUUGGGGAACUCACUAAGCUUCGUGCUUACAGCGUUUUGUGUUAUGUUGUUUUUCAGGUUUCUUUCGGUAUCACGGGACGGCACCGACUUCAUUGUACACACCAGAGAAAGAGUCAUGUUUUGGAGGAUCCUGGUUUUCUAUGCAAGUGAAAAUGGAGUUAUGUUUUGUAAUUCGAUUAUAAAUGAGAUUUUAAACAAGUGUUUCUAAGAAUUAAACGAUUAUUUUAAAUGAAAAAUUGUUUUGUAAUUUACGGUGUUACUAGUUGGUAUCAGAGCCUUGGUUUGAGGGAUUCGGAUGCGCCUUCGGGUAAAUCUGGACUCAAGCUGAGGAAGUAAGAAAAGUUUUCAAAAGAAAUGAAUUUCUAAAAGUGAAUAAGAGUUCAAAGAGAAAUCAAGAAAGAGCGGUGUGUACAAUCAGCCAGAGCCCGAACGGUGAUUUCCCAAAAUACCCUUACUUUUGUGUUAUGAGAUAUUUAUGAUGCACUUUAUGAGAUAUUAUCGCAUGCUAGAGACAGGCUAGGUAUUUCAUAUCUUAGGACUAGAGUGGCCUGAUUUGUGAUGCCUUAGCCUAGGACUUGUUGUUAUAUGUGUUAUGCUUUUGAGUAUGUUAUGAGUGAGAGUAUCCAGUUAGAACCCAUGAGGGGUAGAGUUGCAGAGUCAGGUGGUACCUUCGAGGAUGAGCCGAGAAAGUUUGGGAGUUAUCACCGAGAGAGAGUUCUAUGUAUUCUUCGAUGCUCGAAUGCUGCUUGCUUUGUGCUUUGUACAACUCUCGAUGAUGGGAGUCAGCUACCAAGUGAAUAUGACGAUAUUCAGGAGGUAGACGGCUGGCAUCAUUAGGAGCUCUUCAGCAGCUAAUAGCAAAGAAGUGGGAGGACCAAGGAAGAGCCUAGGGAGUAGCCCUAACCAGAUAAGUGCGCUGGUAGAGUAGAGAAUUUCGCUGGGGAGCGAGCACGCGCGAUGGGAUUGGUGAAAGAUCAGGUCGAGCAGCUACUUAGGAGCUCUGGGAUGGUCCGUGUGGAAAGUAUGGGUAGAUGUGGCAGGUAGUAUGGGCCCGUACUACUGAAAGCAGAGGACCCAUACUUGAUACAGGGAGUAUUCUGAAGGUUCUAAGGAGCGGAUUGAGGAGUGAUGUUAUGGUUCGAGUACCAUACAUCGGAGCUGAUUGAGGAGUGAUGUCAUGGUUCGAGUACCAUACAUCGGAGCGGAUUGAGGAGUGAUGUCAUGGUUCGAGUACCAUACAUCGGAGCGGAUUGAGGAGUGAUGUUAUGGUUCGAGUACCAUACGCCGGAGCAUAUUGAGAAGAGAUGUCAUGGAAUGAAUACCAUGGUUCGUAGGGAAUGAUGCUUGUAGUUCUCCGGCUAUCCGGUUAUGAUUGAGUUCGGAGAGGCAUCCCUUGAGAGGGAGAUCGAGAGCCUCUCAGAGUAUUUUAGUAAGGAGUCAGUGAGAAGGGAGAAUUUCGAUCUGAGUUGAGCGAUCAGUCGAUCAAGGAGAUGUCACCUUCUAUGAUCUGGGUGGUUCUGAUUAUGUUUGUGUGCAAAUAUGAGAAGCAUGAUGUUGAGUUUUGGGUUUGGGGGUAAACCCUGCAGGUCGUCAUUGAUGACGAUUUCCCAUCAGAGUAUCAGGUAGCAUGUGUGCCGCGAGGCAGUGAUUUUACAUGAGCAAAUAGUCAGUUGGGGAUGAGAUAGUCGAGGACCACACUACACCUAUUUGAGUAUAGUAGGAUGUAUUGUAGUGGUAUCAGUGGCGAUUUCAAUCGAGUUUCGCAGUGCAGAUAGUUUUCUAUCCAUGUUGGGUGUUGAAUAUGGGAGUGGGUCCCUGUUCUUGGGACGAUCCCGAUGUUAGAGGGUUGGUUAAUGAGUUAAGGUGAGGGGUACGAUGAUUUUGUGGUCCAGUCUAUGAGCCAGGGAUGUUAUUGAGCAGUUGAGUUGCUUGGUGCUAGAUUGGUACGAUAUUUGGAACGAUUAGAGGCAGUCGUGACGAGAGGUUCUUGAAGAGUUCAUCAGAGGUUCAGAGUAUAUGAGGUCGAUUGAUUUCCUUAAGGGGGGGAUUAUCGGGCAUUGUGUAGCACUUUCCGGGGGCAGGUGUGAUUUCGCUGGUGAAAAUAGUUGUGGGUUGGUUGUGUGCUAUUUGGUGAUGGUUCGGACCCUAAGUGGGGGAGAACCGGGUACCGUUUGUGAGAAAGCAGAGAUUUGUCAAGAGCAGAUAUAAGUGGAGUAUAGAGAUCUGCGGUAAGAGAUUAUGAGACCUGAGAUGUCGGUGAUUGAGGAAAGGGGUCAGAGUGAGUUAAUGUGGGAAGUACUUGUUGAGAAUGAUGAAUAUCUCCACGGCAGGUGUUUAAGUGGUCAGUGUUGUUGCAAGUAGAUCGAGAAUGAUUGGGCAGCCAACUCCCGGGUCGAUGUGUAUCCUUGCUUGGAUUUUGAGCGGUGGAAAAAGGGUUUCGGAGAAUUAUCAGCGUACUUCGUAGCAUUAGCGUUUUCUCGUAUUCCAAUUGAGAAAUUGGAUACACCGAAGUUGCAAUUUGGGAAAAAUGCAGAUCUAAUUAUGGGGUUCAGAGGAAAUGUAUUUUUUUUUGGUAUCUAUAUGAUGUUUGGGGCAGGAGAUCAGUGGUUGUGGCGGGAUCUUGUGAUGUUUUGUUGGGGUAUUCCGAGGUAUCCGGGUAUGAUAUAUUUAUUUCGGAGUUACUCGUGAAUCUUGAGUUGAGACGACUUGUGGCAUAUCAGGUAACUAUGGAUCUAGUGGGAGCCCUUUGAGUAUGGGCAUCCAGGGAGAUUAUUUAAGAGAGUGGAUCUUCGCAAGGGUCGGCAUUUGUUAUGUCGAUUGCCUCCAAAGUCUGUGAUGCAUAUUCGAGUCGAGUAUGGGUAGCUGCCUAUGAUAGUCUGCGGAGCAUGAGCUAGUGGGGUCAGAGGGUGUUGUGAUACUGCGGGGAGCCGUAGUACUCACUAGUCAGAGGGUGUUGUGAUACUGCGGGGAGCUGUAGUACUCACUAAAUGGCAAGAGAAUGUGAUGAUGGAAUAUUCUCCGAUCAGUGUAUGAUGUGGAAGAGUUUUGGGUUUGAGUAACCCUAGCAUUGAGUUUUUGGAGUCUGGAUGUUGAAUCGGGGGCGACACUGGGGUCUCCGUCUCUGUCGGGAGAUGCGGUGAGAUGCGCAAGGGAUAUGCGCAGUAGAAACCAGAGAUCAGAGUUGAGACGAUCCUCGUUUGGAUUGUAUUUUCUCGCAUGAGGAAAAGAGAAUUUCGUGACUUGCGUGUCACUGAGCAGGGAUAGUGGUCACGGGGAAGAAGUUAGUGAGAUAUUUGGAUCAUGUUAUGGGUGACCUUUGGAGGCUCAGCUGUGGAGUCAAAGGCUGACCUGGUGCUCAGUCUCGAAGAGGGAUAUGGGAAAUGAGCUAGAGCUUAUCAUGAGGUUGUUUGAGGACACUUCAGAGCGAGUAAGCGAUUCAGACGCUCGAAGUCAUGCUUCGGGCAUGUGUAUUAGAUUUCGGAGGGAGUUGCGGCACGUACUUAUCCUUGGUUGAGUUAUCCUAUAUCAACAGCCAUCAUUAGUGCAUUGGUAUGCCACCCUUUGAGCUGUUGUAUGGGAUGAGGUGUCGGACCCUCAUUCCUAAGGAGAGGUAGCGUAUGGACCCGAGAGUCCUUGCGAGCAGAUCCAGAGCAUGCGCGAUACAUGGAGUAGUGACAAGGUUGACAAGUGGAUUUCCCUGGGUAAGGGAAGAGAAAGGUAUGUAACCCCGGGGGGAGGGGGGAAUGUUGGUUCACGGAAGUGAAGGUAGUUGUGAGAAUGGAUGGAUUGGAGUAUGGGGGUUGAACACUGUGUCUGUGUCAGUGGUAUGGAAUGACAUUAUGAUGGGAUGUCUGCUGAGGACGCAGAAGGGAUUCCGCGGGUGUAGGGCCAGGAGGCUCGAAAGGGAUACAUGGAGAGAGUCCUGGACUCUCAGUGUGAUUCUGAUCAGGGUAUUGGGUAUGUAUCAGUGGUUCAUCCUGGGGGAAUGUUUGAGGAUAUCAUCAGUGUAUCGGGUUUUCCAACCUGAGGGUGUUGGAGCUAGUUCAGCAUGUGUAUGUGAUUGCAAGAGGAGAACUCGUGGGAGUUGCUCUGAGAUUGAGAAUGGGUCUUUCCGUCAUCACGGAAUGGGUAGAGUGGGAUUCGGAUCGGGGAUCCGAUGGUUCAUGGUUUUCUAGCCCUUAUGGGUCGAGUGAUUGUUAAGAUUUUGGUCAGUGAUGCAUCAUGGGUAAUCCUCGGUUGUUGAGUGUGAUUAUCAGAGGGUACAGCCGGUGCCCGGCUCGAGACGGUGGUCAGGACACCGUAAGGAAAGAGAAAGUGUGUUCGAGUUUCGAUGGGUAUGCCUUGAGGGACCUGGUCUGGUUGAGGCCAGGUGGAGCGUUGUGGGAGUAGCUUCGGAGUUGAAUUGUUGUAGGCUUCGAGGACGACGCCUAAUUNGGGUGUUUUAUGAAGGGACUCGGCGAGUUGGAGCUCAAACUCGCCGAGUAGGAUCGGGGUUCUGGACGCGGGUCCGCGCUUGGACUCGGCGAGUCCAAGGUAUGGACUCGGCGAGUCCGCGCUGUUUAAUGAAACCCUAAUUUCUCGGGUUUGGGACCUAUUUAAAGGCCCUUAAGGCCGUCAUUUGUGCUCACCAACCCUCUGAGUGAAACCCUAGCGAGUCUGAGCGUUUGGAGCAAAGCAAGAAGCCAUUAUUGACCUUGGAGGUGUUAUCUCGCAAGGGAAAGGAAGCAAUAGCUAAGGGGAAAUCAAGAGGAGCCACUUCAUGAAGAGUUGAGGUCCAAAGCAUCACAUUUGAGGUAUAUCCUUCGAGCUAUUCUCUGUUAUGUUGAUGUUUAUGUUGAUUUAGGGCUUAUUGAGCCCUUUUGUGG
rnacentral:lncRNA from 1 species